rnacentral:rRNA from 1 species
UACGUAGGGACCGAGCGUUGUCCGGAUUCAUUGGGCGUAAAGAGCUCGUAGGCGGCUCGUCGCGUCGGCCGUGAAAACCUAGGGCUUAACCCUGGGCUUGCGGUCGAUACGGGCGGGCUAGAGUUCGGUAGGGGAGACUGGAAUUCCUGGUGUAGCGGUGAAAUGCGCAGAUAUCAGGAGGAACACCGGUGGCGAAGGCGGGUCUCUGGGCCGAUACUGACGCUGAGACGCGAAAGCGUGGGGAGCGAACAGG